UUAUCAUGUCAUCUGAGAAUGUCUCUUCAAGGAUCACUAGAUGUUUAGAAAAGGCGCGGAGGAAUUUUUGUUGAAGGCGGUGAGGUUAUCGGAUUUGAGUAAACUUAGGCCCCAUAUGUUAAAAACCAAAUUAAGGGAUCAUAAUCAGAAACAAGA